rnacentral:rRNA from 1 species
AUGAAGCGCGGGACCAACAGCGCGUGCGACCUCCGCGCCGUCUCUCUCCCCCAGCCCCGGAGCGGCGGCGGGAGGGCCGGCGCGCCCCCUGCUUCCUCCUCCGCGGCGUCGGCGGCGGGGAAUCCGCCCCAGGCGGCGCCGUCGCAGCAGCAGCAGGCCUUCUCGCUCCCGCGCCCGAAGCUGCCGCGGCUCCCGGAGUCGGAGGCCUUCGUCGACCAGACCCNNNNNNNNNNNNNNNNNNNNNNNNNCCAGGGAUUUGGCUUGCAUGAUGACUCGUCGGAGAGGAUGCCUCCAUUUCCUCCCACUUCAGCGUCUCGUGCACAAGAAGAACCCCAGCAGCAGCAACCUGUGAUCAUUCCCAGAAGCACUACCCUGCGCUGGAACCCCUCUCCUACAGACACUAGAUGUCGGGUUAACGACGACGCUGAGUGCAGGUUUCAGCAGCUGUCAGGUUCAGUACACAAGGUGGGGAUGGUAUUGGACUCGGUACAAACUGAUGUUAUUCAGUUAAACAGAACCAUGAAGGACGCAUCAGUUGAAUCUGGUGGUGUGCAGCAGAAGUUUGAUCUCCUAGAGGAUACACUUCAGAAAAUUAUUAAAGGACAAAAUGAUCUCAAAGUACUUGCUGAAAACAGCAUGAAAAGCAACUCUGAUCAGCUGAAUGUUCUCAACUCUCGCACCAGCAAAUUGAAUGAGAUGUCUUUGGUCGUUUCAGUCUGCCCAAAACAAGUGCAAGCAGAUUUAAGGGAGCUGCAUGGUGACAUCUUCAGGGUUCUUACAAAGGACAUGGAGGGGGUUGUUAGAGAUAUCAGGUCUCUGAAUACUAGGCCUGCUGCAAUGCCGAUGCUGCCACUGAAGGACAAGAACUUCUCCCCCAAUAAAAGACUACAGAGAAACCAAGUGGUGGCAAAAGGAAUUCCCCUGAUGAACGGAGUGUCUGUAGCGAAUAGAAGACCUACAAUGAACCAGACACCAGUAGCAAAUGGACGACCCCUGAUGAACCAAACACCAGUGAAAAAUGGAAGCCCCAUGAUCAUCAACCAGGCUCCAUUAGGAGGUGGAAGGUCCCAGCUGAAACAAACACCAGUUACACCCCAGAGGGAUCUAACACCAGAGAUAAAUGGAAGGCCCCAGAAGGACCGAAUACCAGUAGCAGAUGGAAGUCCCCAUAUGGAACAAAUUCCGCCAACAAAACCCCUUCCUGCACGUUCCACUUAUGCUACGAGGGCGUCAGUUCUGAAGCCAAAGGUAGAACAGGGUAUGGUAAAAGCAGCUCACAUGGUUGGUACAAACUACAGGCUAGCACCUGCACAGAAAGAGAAGUUGAAUCAAAAGGUCAAUCCCCAAGAGCCAACUAAGAAGGAACCAGUUAAAAUAAUCAUCGGUUCAGAUAAUGACAGUAAAUGGUGCACUACCCGUGCGAUUCUCAACAUGGAACCAGCUGACCUGAUGAAGGAAGUCGGCAGCGAGUCUGGCCCACCGCUUGUGUGGGGGGUGAGGAAGAUGAGGACGAGCAGCGAGACGCUGCCCAUUGAUGCGGCCACCUUGCUGCCAGGAGAAGGGGAGAAGAGGAGGCGGGGACCUGGACGAGACGCACAGAAGGGCGAGGCUGUUCAUGCGGUUGAAGCCGCUCCAGCAAAGCGGGCUCACCGGUUCAACCCCAAGUACGACGCGACCUGUGGAUCACCUACUGAGGCGGCCCGAGAAGCCACGUCGGCGCCGGGCACACUGAUAAAAUGA